GUGGGGAAUCUUAGACAAUGGGCGCAAGCCUGAUCUAGCCAUGCCGCGUGAGCGAUGAAGGCCUUAGGGUUGUAAAGCUCUUUCAGCUGGGAAGAUAAUGACGGAACCAGCAGAAGAAGCCCCGGCUAACUCCGUGCCAGCAGCCGCGGUAAUACGGAGGGGGCUAGCGUUGUUCGGAAUUACUGGGCGUAAAGCGCACGUAGGCGGAUCAGAAAGUCAGAGGUGAAAUCCCAGGGCUCAACCUUGGAACUGCCUUUGAAACUCCUGAUCUUGAGGUCGAGAGAGGUGAGUGGAAUUCCGAGUGUAGAGGUGAAAUUCGUAGAUAUUCGGAGGAACACCAGUGGCGAAGGCGGCUCACUGGCUCGAUACUGACGCUGAGGUGCGAAAGCGUGGGGAGCAAACAGGAUUAGAUACCCCGGUAGUCC
rnacentral:rRNA from 1 species